GACGGAGGAUGCAAGUGUUAUCCGGAAUCACUGGGCGUAAAGCGUCUGUAGGUGGUUUAAUAAGUCAACUGUUAAAUCUUGAGGCUCAACCUCAAAAUCGCAGUCGAAACUAUUAGGCUAGAGUAUAGUAGGGGUAAAGGGAAUUUCCAGUGGAGCGGUGAAAUGCGUAGAGAUCAGGAAGAACACCGGUGGCGAAAGCGCUCUGCUAGGCCGCAACUGACACUGAGGGACGAAAGCUAGGGGAGCGAAUGGG
rnacentral:rRNA from 1 species